GAGAGCACAGUACGAUGAAGUUGUAAGCUGUGUUCGGGGGGAGUUAUUGUCUAUCGUUGGCCUCUAUGGUAGAAUCAGUCGGGGACCUGAGAGGCGGUGGUUUACCCUGC
rnacentral:ncRNA from 1 species